AGAGUUUGAUCAUGGCUCAGAAUCAACGCUGGCGGCGUGCCUCAGACAUGCAAGUCGAACGCGAAAGGCCCCUUCGGGGGCCGAGUAGAGUGGCGUCCGGGUGAGUAACACGUAGGUAAUCUACCUUCGGGUGGGGAAUAACAGCCGGAAACGGCUGCUAAUACCGCAUAAUGCAGCGGCACCACAUGGUGACAGUUGUUAAAGCGGGGGAACAGCAAUGUCCUCGCGCCUGAAGAGGAGCCUGCGGCGGAUUAGCUAGUUGGCGGGGUAACGGCCCACCAAGGCAACGAUCCGUAGCCGGCCUGAGAGGGCGGUCGGCCACACUGGCACUGACACACGGGCCAGACUCCUACGGGAGGCAGCAGUCGGGAAUUUUGGGCAAUGGGCGAAAGCCUGACCCAGCAACGCCGCGUGAAGGAUGAAGCUUCUCGGAGUGUAAACUUCAUAAGAAUGGGACGAAUAAGAAAGGGCUAAUACCCCUUUUGAUGACGGUACCAUUG
rnacentral:rRNA from 1 species